GCAAAUCCUGUGACAUCAGCGGAGGUGAGCCGUAGGUUGCCAGGGUUUUGCGGAGUGACUGGCCUGAAAGGGCGCGGGGGCGGGUUGAUACGUCACGUGGGAAAUCCCGUGGCUAAAGGCCGAGGCCUCAGGUGAGACUGUGUGGCUGGAGCUGGGUAGGGGCGCGUGGAAUUCCCGGUGUGUCGGUGUAAUGCGUAGAGAUCGGGAAGAACACCGGUUGCGAAAGCGGCUCGCUGGGCCAAAGCUGACGCUGAUGCGCGAAAGCGAGGGGAGCAAACAGGAUUAGAUACCCCGGUCGUC
rnacentral:rRNA from 1 species